rnacentral:rRNA from 1 species
AUUGAACGCUGGCGGCAGGCCUAACACAUGCAAGUCGAGCGGAGUGGCGGACGGGUGAGUAAUGCCUAGGAAUCUGCCUGGUAGUGGGGGAUAACGUCCGGAAACGGGCGCUAAUACCGCAUACUAUCAGAUGAGCCUAGGUCGGAUUAGCUAGUUGGUGGGGUAAAGGCCUACCAAGGCGACGAUCCGUAACUGGUCUGAGAGGAUGAUCAGUCACACUGGAACUGAGACACGGUCCAGACUCCUACGGGAGGCAGCAGUGGGGAAUCUUGGACAAUGGGCGAAAGCCUGAUGCAGCAAUGCCGCGUGUGUGAAGAAGGUCUUCGGAUUUUAAAGCCCUUUUGUUGGGAAAGCGGUACCCAAAGAGAAAGCACCGGCUAACUACGUGCCAGCAGCCGCGGUAAUAC